rnacentral:rRNA from 1 species
UACGUAGGGUGCAAGCGUUAUCCGGAAUUAUUGGGCGUAAAGAGCUCGUAGGCGGUCUGUCGCGUCUGCUGUGAAAUCUGGGGGCUCAACCCCCAGCCUGCAGUGGGUACGGGCAGACUAGAGUGCGGUAGGGGAGAUUGGAACUCCUGGUGUAGCGGUGGAAUGCGCAGAUAUCAGGAAGAACACCGAUGGCGAAGGCAGAUCUCUGGGCCGGAACUGACGCUGAGGAGCGAAAGCAUGGGGAGCGAACAGG